GCCCCGUUCGUCUAGUGGCCUAGGACUCCGAGCUCUCCGCUCGGCAACAGAUGGUUCGAAUCCUCUACGGGGUG
rnacentral:tRNA from 1 species